AUUUAGAUAGUUUAUUAAAAUAUUAAUUUGUGGAAUUAAAGAUGUACUGUUACUCUAAAUA
rnacentral:tRNA from 1 species